AUUGAACGCUGGCGGCAGGCCUAACACAUGCAAGUCGAACGGUAGCACAGAGAGCUUGCUCUCGGGUGACGAGUGGCGGACGGGUGAGUAACGUCUGGGAAACUGCCCGAUGGAGGGGGAUAACUACUGGAAACGGUAGCUAAUACCGCAUAACGUCGCAAGACCAAAGUGGGGGACCUUCGGGCCUCACACCAUCGGAUGUGCCCAGAUGGGAUUAGCUAGUAGGUGGGGUAAUGGCUCACCUAGGCGACGAUCCCUAGCUGGUCUGAGAGGAUGACCAGCCACACUGGAACUGAGACACGGUCCAGACUCCUACGGGAGGCAGCAGUGGGGAAUAUUGCACAAUGGGCGCAAGCCUGAUGCAGCCAUGCCGCGUGUAUGAAGAAGGCCUUCGGGUUGUAAAGUACUUUCAGCGGGGAGGAAGGCGGUGAAGUUAAUAGCUUCACCGAUUGACGUUACCCGCGGAAGAAGCACCGGCUAACUCCGUGCCAGCCGUCGCCGUAA
rnacentral:rRNA from 1 species